rfam:Gossypium raimondii Chr10_contig_1003, whole genome shotgun sequence.
AUUCCGUGCUGAGGGCACUUCUGUAAUAAUUCUUUGUACCUUUCCCAUGCCUCAUACAAGGACUUAUCAUCCAUUUGUUGGAAAGUAGUGAUCUCGUUCCUCAACUU